rnacentral:rRNA from 1 species
AAUUUUCCACAAUGGGGGAAACCCUGAUCCAGCCAUCCCGCGUGUAUGAUGAAGGCCUUCGGGUCGUCAAGUACUUUUGGCAGAGAAGAAAAGGUAUAGCCUAAUACGGUAUACGGCUGACGGUAUCUGCAGAAUAGGCACCGGCUACCUACUUCCCAGCAGCCGCGGUAAUACGUAGGGUGCAAGCGUUUAUCGGAAUUACUGGGCGUAAAGCGUGUGUAGGCGGUUUGGAAAGAAAGAUGUGAAAUCCCAGGGCUCAACCUUGGAACUGCAUUUUUAACUGCCGAGCUAGAGUAUGUCAGAGGGAGGUAGAAUUCCACGUGUAGCAGUGAAAUGCGUAGAUAUGUGGAGGAAUACCGAUGGCGAAGGCAGCCUUCUGGGAUAAUACUGACGCUCAGACACGAAAGCGUGGGGAGCAAACAGG